rnacentral:rRNA from 1 species
GGAAGCACCGGCUAACUCCGUGCCAGCAGCCGCGGUAAUACGGGGGGUGCAAGCGUUGUUCGGAAUUAUUGGGCGUAAAGCGCGUGUAGGCGGUCUGAUUAGUCUGAUGUGAAAGCCCUGGGCUCAACCCAGGAAGUGCAUUGGAUACUGUCAGACUUGAAUACGGGAGAGGGUAGUGGAAUUCCUAGUGUAGGAGUGAAAUCCGUAGAUAUUAGGAGGAACACCGGUGGCGAAGGCGGCUACCUGGACCGAUAUUGACGCUGAGACGCGAAAGCGUGGGGAGCAAACAGGAUUAGAUACCCUGGUAGUCCACGCCGUAAACGAUGAGAACUAGGUGUCGSGGRKAAWRWACG